GCCUGCCUAGUUUGUCUCUCAACUCUCUCUGUGUAGUAUUGGAUUGAUACUCAGGGUUGGCGUUACUGGUAGAGGGAACUGCUGUGUUGUCAGGACAAAAGUUGACUGUAUGGGCUGCUGACGAGCAUAUGGCACAAGAAGGCGUCUUGAGACCCGCAAAAUGCCUAAGGAACAGUUUGGUGUCUAACUGACCCCAGUCGGUGUUAGUAUUGUAUUGGGUGAGU